GAUGAGCGCUGGCGGCGUGCCUAAUACAUGCAAGUCGAGCGAACAGACGAGGAGCUUGCUCCUCUGACGUUAGCGGCGGACGGGUGAGUAACACGUGGAUAACCUACCUAUAAGACUGGGAUAACUUCGGGAAACCGGAGCUAAUACCGGAUAAUAUAUUGAACCGCAUGGUUCAAUAGUGAAAGACGGUUUUGCUGUCACUUAUAGAUGGAUCCGCGCCGCAUUAGCUAGUUGGUAAGGUAACGGCUUACCAAGGCAACGAUGCGUAGCCGACCUGAGAGGGUGAUCGGCCACACUGGAACUGAGACACGGUCCAGACUCCUACGGGAGGCAGCAGUAGGGAAUCUUCCGCAAUGGACGAAAGCCUGACGGAGCAACGCCGCGUGAGUGAUGAAGGUCUUCGGAUCGUAAAACUCUGUUAUUAGGGAAGAACAAAUGUGUAAGUAACUAUGCACGUCUUGACGGUACCUAAUCAGAAAGCCACGGCUAACUACGUG
rnacentral:rRNA from 1 species